UACGUAGGGUGCAAGCGUUGUCCGGAAUUAUUGGGCGUAAAGAGCUCGUAGGCGGUUUGUCGCGUCUGCUGUGAAAACCCGAGGCUCAACCUCGGGCCUGCAGUGGGUACGGGCAGACUAGAGUGCGGUAGGGGAGAUUGGAAUUCCUGGUGUAGCGGUGAAAUGCGCAGAUAUCAGGAGGAACACCGGUGGCGAAGGCGGUUCUCUGGGCCUGUACUGACGCUGAGGAACGAAAGCGUGGGGAGCGAACAGG
rnacentral:rRNA from 1 species